rnacentral:rRNA from 1 species
UAGAGUUUGAUCCUGGCUCAGAUUGAACGCUGGCGGCAUGCCUUACACACGCAAGUCGAACGGUAACAGGUCUUCGGACGCUGACGAGUGGCGAACGGGUGAGUAAUACAUCGGAACGUGCCCAGUCGUGGGGGAUAACUACUCGAAAGAGUAGCUAAUACCGCAUACGAUCUGAGGAUGAAAGCGGGGGACCUUCGGGCCUCGCGCGAUUGGAGCGGCCGAUGGCAGAUUAGGUAGUUGGUGGGAUAAAAGCUUACCAAGCCGACGAUCUGUAGCUGGUCUGAGAGGACGACCAGCCACACUGGGACUGAGACACGGCCCAGACUCCUACGGGAGGCAGCAGUGGGGAAUUUUGGACAAUGGGCGAAAGCCUGAUCCAGCAAUGCCGCGUGCAGGAUGAAGGCCUUCGGGUUGUAAACUGCUUUUGUACGGAACGAAAAAGCUCCUUCUAAUACAGGGGGCCCAUGACGGUACCGUAAGAAUAAGCACCGGCUAACUACGUGCCAGCAGCCGCGGUAAUACGUAGGGUGCGAGCGUUAAUCGGAAUUACUGGGCGUAAAGCGUGCGCAGGCGGUUAUGUAAGACAGAUGUGAAAUCCCCGGGCUCAACCUGGGAACUGCAUUUGUGACUGCAUGGCUAGAGUACGGUAGAGGGGGAUGGAAUUCCGCGUGUAGCAGUGAAAUGCGUAGAUAUGCGGAGGAACACCGAUGGCGAAGGCAAUCCCCUGGACCUGUACUGACGCUCAUGCACGAAAGCGUGGGGAGCAAACAGGAUUAAAUACCCUGGUAGUCCACGCCCUAAACGAUGUCAACUGGUUGUUGGGAAUUAGUUUUCUCAGUAACGAAGCUAACGCGUGAAGUUGACCGCCUGGGGAGUACGGCCGCAAGGUGGGAACUCAAAGGAAUUGACGGGGACCCGCCCAAGCGGGGGAAGAUGUGGGUUUAAUUCGAUGCAACGCGGAAAACCCUUAUCCCCCUUUGACNUGGCAGGAANUUUC